CCUACGGGAGGCAGCAGUGGGGAAUAUUGCACAAUGGGCGAAAGCCUGAUGCAGCAACGCCGCGUGAAGGAAGAAGGGUUUCGGCUCGUAAACUUCUAUCAACAGGGACGAAAGAAAUGACGGUACCUGAAUAAGAAGCCCCGGCUAACUACGUGCCAGCAGCCGCGGUACUACGUAGGGGGCAAGCGUUAUCCGGACUUACUGGGGGUAAAGAGUGAGUAGGCGGCAUGGUAAGCCAGAUGUGAAAGCCUUGGGCUUAACCCGGGAAUUGCAGCUGGUACUAGCAAGCUAGAGUACAGGGGAGGAGAGCAGAAUUCCGAGUGUAGCGGUGAAAUGCGUAGAGAUCAGGAAGAACACCAGUGGCGAAGGCGGCUUUCUGGACUGAAACUGACGCUGAGGCACGAAAGCGUGGGGAGCGAACAGGAUUAGAUACCCCUGUAGUC
rnacentral:rRNA from 1 species